UUUCAUCAUGACCUUUUAAACGCCCCUCUUUCAGCUGUCGCUAUUUUAUCUUUUACGGCAGAAUUGCCUUACGGCAAAUCGGUUUUGCGGCCAAGACACUUCCCGCGAGGAUGCUCCUGAAGGAACACCAGCCGGGCCGAGAACUCUGCUUUGGGAAGGUGGAACACGCCGCUUGGCUUGCCUUUCGUCUUGCGCAGCUGCUUCCCGAAGCCUCCCUCUUUCAUCUUUAAGGCCUUUAAUUGGCAGGUGUGAGCCCAGAGAACGAUCUCAGGAGAUGGCCGAAGGCUGGGUUGAAUUCUGGGUCUGCCGCUCAGCCCUGCACGAGUCCCUGACGUCGGGUCCAUCUGGAGCGGACACUGAGCGGGUCUUGAGGACCUGCAACCUACCGCCAGGUGGCAAGCCAGACCAGAGGGUGCUCAUUGAAGAAUGAAGACUUCUGACAUGAUUUCUGAUCUUUAUCACAGUUUGUUGAUUACUACAUCAACAUUUCUACUUUCCGUGGGUUUUUAUAAAAUAGCCUCCCUAUUCCUCGAGACGCAACAGUAUUGAAAUCAGGCCAAUUAAUAACCAUACAGUGGCCUCUAAAUGUUCAAGUCUCUCAUUUUAAAUCUGAAACUAGAAGUGAUUAAGCUUAGUGAAGAAAGCAUGUCAAAAGCUGAGAGAGGCCAAAAGCGAGGCUUCUUGCACCAAACAGUUAAGCUAGGUUGUGAAUGCAAAAGAGAAGUUCUUGAAGGAAAUUCAAGGUGUUGCUCCAGGGAAUGUACAAACGAUAAAGUGAAACAGCCUCACUGCUGAUACAGAGAAAGUUUUAGUGGUCUAGAUAGAGGAUCGAACUAGCCAGACGAUUCCCUUAAGGCAGAGCCUAAUCCAGAGCACAGUCCUAAUCUCUUUAAUUCUACAAAGAAGGCUGUGUGUGCUGAGGAAGCUGCAGAAGAAAAGUCUGAAGUUAGCAGAGGUUAGUUCGUGAGGUUUAAGGAAAGAAGUCAUCUCUGUAACAUAAAAGUGCAAGGUAAAGCAGCAAGUGCUGAUACAGGUGCUGCAGGGAGUUAUCCAGAAGAUCUCAGAUAAGUCACGAAGAUGGCGGCACUAAACAACAGACUUCCAGUGUAGAUGAAACAGCCUUCUCCUGGCAGAAGAUGUCAGCUAGGACUUCCAUAGCUAGAGAGGAGAAGUCCAUGCCUGGCUUCAAAGGACAGAUUGACUUUCUUGUUAGGGUCAGAUGCAGCUGAUGAUUUUGAGUUAAAGUCAUUGCUCAUUCUGAAAAUUUUGAUUUAAAGUCAUUGAACAUUCUGAAAAUCUGGGACCCUUAGGAAUUAGGCCCAGUCUACUCCACCUAUGCUCAACCAAGAGAACAACAAAGUCUGCAUGAUAGUGUAUCUGUUUGCAACAUGACUUAUGAAUAUUUUAAGCUCACUGAAUUUUCAGUAUUUGAGAUCUCUUCAGAAAAAAACUUCCUUUCAAAGUAUUGCUGCUCUUGACAAUGCACCUGGUCACCCAAGAGCUCAGAUGGAGAUGGAUAGCGAGAUGAAUACUGUUUUCAUGACUGUUGAUACAGCAUCUGUUCAGUAGCCCAUUGAUCAAGAAGUAGUUUCAACUUUUAGGUCUCAUUUAAGAAACAUGUUGUACAUGGGGCUCCUGGGUGGCUCAGUGGGUUAAAGCCUCU